rnacentral:rRNA from 1 species
GACGAACGCUGGCGGCGUGCUUAACACAUGCAAGUCGAACGGAAAGGCCCUGCUUUUGUGGGGUGCUCGAGUGGUGAACGGGUGAGUAACACGUGAGUAACCUGCCCUUGACUUUGGGAUAACUUCAGGAAACUGGGACUAAUACCGGAUAGGAGCUCCUGCUGCAUGGUGGGGGUUGGAAAGUUUCGGCGGUUGGGGAUGGACUCGCGGCUUAUCAGCUUGUUGGUGGGGUAGUGGCUUACCAAGGCUUUGACGGGUAGCCGGCCUGAGAGGGUGACCGGCCACAUUGGGACUGAGAUACGGCCCAGACUCCUACGGGAGGCAGCAGUGGGGAAUAUUGCACAAUGGGCGGAAGCCUGAUGCAGCAACGCCGCGUGCGGGAUGACGGCCUUCGGGUUGUAAACCGCUUUCGCCUGUGACGAAGCGUGAGUGACGGUAAUGGGUAAAGAAGCACCGGCUAACUACGUG